CUACGGGGUGCUGCAGUGGGGAAUAUUGGACAAUGGGCGCAAGCCUGAUCCAGCAAUGCCGCGUGAGUGAAGACGGCCUUAGGGUUGUAAAACUCUUUCGCUAGGGAAGAUAAUGACUGUACCUAGUAAAGAAGUCCCGGCUAACUCCGUGCCAGCAGCCGCGGUAAUACGGAGGGGACUGGCGUUGUUCGGAAUUACUGGGCGUAAAGAGUUCGUAGGCGGACUGACAAGUUAGAGGUGAAAUCCCAGGGCUCAACCCUGGAACUGCCUUUAAAACUGUCAGUCUAGAGACCGGAAGAGGUUAGGGGAAUACCUAGUGUAGAGGUGAAAUUCGUAGAUAUUAGGUGGAACACCAGUGGCGAAGGCGCCUAACUGGUCCGGUACUGACGCUGAGGAACGAAAGCGUGGGGAGCAAACAGGAUUAGAUACCCCUGUAGUC
rnacentral:rRNA from 1 species